UUCAUGAGAUUGCAAUUAUGCUCUUACAUUAAAACUAAAGCUUUCUCCUGCUUACAGCUCUGUGAACCAGAAAGUUGGGGCAUAGAAGCGUGAAAUCAUUGAACUACACUUGUCUAUUUGCAAUUAGUUUAGAUCACUGGAAGAACAAAAGAGAUUCAUUUUCUUAACUGCAACACUGUGAAUCUGUAGGAACCAAUGUUUUAUCAAUUUCCCAUAACCCUUCUUAAUGAAAGUUGAGAGGAUCAAGGCUUUUUCCUGCACAGCUAGUAUGAAGAUUAAGAUGGACAAAGACAGAAAGUAUGUAGUCUUCUGGGAUCACUACUUUAUCUCAAAGAAACAGAAAGCUUUCUAAGGAUUAAGAAGCCUUAAUGUCUGUGAGAGUCUCAACUGACAUGAAAAAUUACCAGAUGAAGUUUUGGCUUCUUGUUCUCUAUAUUUUAGUGGCUCCUGAAUUUGUACAAAACAAGGAGGCCCUCAGAUCAACAUAUAUUAAUACCCCCA
rnacentral:lncRNA from 1 species